CUUUGGUUAGCUCAGUUGGUAGAGCGCUCCACUUGUAAUGGAGAGGUCCCGGGUUCGAUACCCGGACCAGGCG
rfam:Ixodes scapularis strain Wikel colony gcontig_1108379414856, whole genome shotgun sequence.